GAUGCGACCUCAGCUCAGGCGGGGCUACCCGCUGAGUUUAAGCAUAUCAAUAAGCGGAGGAAAAGAAACUAACCAGGAUUCCCCUAG
rnacentral:rRNA from 1 species